GGGUUGUGAGGUUAAGCGACUAAGCGUACACGGUGGAUGCCCUGGCAGUCAGAGGCGAUGAAGGACGUGCUAAUCUGCGAUAAGCGUCGGUGAGGUGAUAUGAACCGUUAUAACCGGCGAUUUCCGAAUGGGGAAACCCAGUGUGUUUCGACACACUAUCAUUAACUGAAUCCAUAGGUUAAUGAGGCGAACCGGGGGAACUGAAACAUCUAAGUACCCCGAGGAAAAGAAAUCAACCGAGAUUCCCCCAGUAGCGGCGAGCGAACGGGGAGGAGCCCAGAGCCUGAAUCAGUGUGUGUGUUAGUGGAAGCGUCUGGAAAGGCGUGCGAUACAGGGUGACAGCCCCGUACACAAAAAUGCACAUAUUGUGAGCUCGAUGAGUAGGGCGGGACACGUGGUAUCCUGUCUGAAUAUGGGGGGACCAUCCUCCAAGGCUAAAUACUCCUGACUGACCGAUAGUGAACCAGUACCGUGAGGGAAAGGCGAAAAGAACCCCGGCGAGGGGAGUGAAAAAGAACCUGAAACCGUGUACGUACAAGCAGUGGGAGCCUCUUUAUGGGGUGACUGCGUACCUUUUGUAUAAUGGGUCAGCGACUUAUAUUCUGUAGCAAGGUUAACCGAAUAGGGGAGCCGAAGGGAAACCGAGUCUUAACUGGGCGUUAAGUUGCAGGGUAUAGACCCGAAACCCGGUGAUCUAGCCAUGGGCAGGUUGAAGGUUGGGUAACACUAACUGGAGGACCGAACCGACUAAUGUUGAAAAAUUAGCGGAUGACUUGUGGCUGGGGGUGAAAGGCCAAUCAAACCGGGAGAUAGCUGGUUCUCCCCGAAAGCUAUUUAGGUAGCGCCUCGUGAAUUCAUCUCCGGGGGUAGAGCACUGUUUCGGCAAGGGGGUCAUCCCGACUUACCAACCCGAUGCAAACUGCGAAUACCGGAGAAUGUUAUCACGGGAGACACACGGCGGGUGCUAACGUCCGUCGUGAAGAGGGAAACAACCCAGACCGCCAGCUAAGGUCCCAAAGUCAUGGUUAAGUGGGAAACGAUGUGGGAAGGCCCAGACAGCCAGGAUGUUGGCUUAGAAGCAGCCAUCAUUUAAAGAAAGCGUAAUAGCUCACUGGUCGAGUCGGCCUGCGCGGAAGAUGUAACGGGGCUAAACCAUGCACCGAAGCUGCGGCAGCGACACUAUGUGUUGUUGGGUAGGGGAGCGUUCUGUAAGCCUGUGAAGGUGGCCUGUGAGGGUUGCUGGAGGUAUCAGAAGUGCGAAUGCUGACAUAAGUAACGAUAAAGCGGGUGAAAAGCCCGCUCGCCGGAAGACCAAGGGUUCCUGUCCAACGUUAAUCGGGGCAGGGUGAGUCGACCCCUAAGGCGAGGCCGAAAGGCGUAGUCGAUGGGAAACAGGUUAAUAUUCCUGUACUUGGUGUUACUGCGAAGGGGGGACGGAGAAGGCUAUGUUGGCCGGGCGACGGUUGUCCCGGUUUAAGCGUGUAGGCUGGUUUUCCAGGCAAAUCCGGAAAACCAAGGCUGAGGCGUGAUGACGAGGCACUACGGUGCUGAAGCGACAAAUGCCCUGCUUCCAGGAAAAGCCUCUAAGCAUCAGGUAACAUCAAAUCGUACCCCAAACCGACACAGGUGGUCAGGUAGAGAAUACCAAGGCGCUUGAGAGAACUCGGGUGAAGGAACUAGGCAAAAUGGUGCCGUAACUUCGGGAGAAGGCACGCUGAUAUGUAGGUGAAGCGACUUGCUCGUGGAGCUGAAAUCAGUCGAAGAUACCAGCUGGCUGCAACUGUUUAUUAAAAACACAGCACUGUGCAAACACGAAAGUGGACGUAUACGGUGUGACGCCUGCCCGGUGCCGGAAGGUUAAUUGAUGGGGUUAGCGGUAACGCGAAGCUCUUGAUCGAAGCCCCGGUAAACGGCGGCCGUAACUAUAACGGUCCUAAGGUAGCGAAAUUCCUUGUCGGGUAAGUUCCGACCUGCACGAAUGGCGUAAUGAUGGCCAGGCUGUCUCCACCCGAGACUCAGUGAAAUUGAACUCGCUGUGAAGAUGCAGUGUACCCGCGGCAAGACGGAAAGACCCCGUGAACCUUUACUAUAGCUUGACACUGAACAUUGAGCCUUGAUGUGUAGGAUAGGUGGGAGGCUUUGAAGUGUGGACGCCAGUCUGCAUGGAGCCGACCUUGAAAUACCACCCUUUAAUGUUUGAUGUUCUAACGUUGGCCCGUAAUCCGGGUUGCGGACAGUGUCUGGUGGGUAGUUUGACUGGGGCGGUCUCCUCCUAAAGAGUAACGGAGGAGCACGAAGGUUGGCUAAUCCUGGUCGGACAUCAGGAGGUUAGUGCAAUGGCAUAAGCCAGCUUGACUGCGAGCGUGACGGCGCGAGCAGGUGCGAAAGCAGGUCAUAGUGAUCCGGUGGUUCUGAAUGGAAGGGCCAUCGCUCAACGGAUAAAAGGUACUCCGGGGAUAACAGGCUGAUACCGCCCAAGAGUUCAUAUCGACGGCGGUGUUUGGCACCUCGAUGUCGGCUCAUCACAUCCUGGGGCUGAAGUAGGUCCCAAGGGUAUGGCUGUUCGCCAUUUAAAGUGGUACGCGAGCUGGGUUUAGAACGUCGUGAGACAGUUCGGUCCCUAUCUGCCGUGGGCGCUGGAGAACUGAGGGGGGCUGCUCCUAGUACGAGAGGACCGGAGUGGACGCAUCACUGGUGUUCGGGUUGUCAUGCCAAUGGCACUGCCCGGUAGCUAAAUGCGGAAGAGAUAAGUGCUGAAAGCAUCUAAGCACGAAACUUGCCCCGAGAUGAGUUCUCCCUGACUCCUUGAGAGUCCUGAAGGAACGUUGAAGACGACGACGUUGAUAGGCCGGGUGUGUAAGCGCAGCGAUGCGUUGAGCUAACCGGUACUAAUGAACCGUGAGGCUUAACCUUACAACGCCGAAGCUGUU
rnacentral:rRNA from 1 species